rnacentral:misc_RNA from 1 species
GAUGAAGAACGUAGCAAAAUGCGAUACUUGGUGUGAAUUGCAGAAUCCCGUGAACCAUCGAGUUUUUGAACGCAAGUUGCGCCCGAAGCCUUUUGGCCGAGGGCACGUCUGCCUGGCCGUCACGCAUCGCGUCGCCCCCCACAAAUUCUCCGUCAGGGGAGCUUGUGUUUCGGGGGCGGAUACUGGUCUCCCGUGCUCAUGGCGCGGUUGGCCGAAAUAGGAGUCCCUUCGAUGGACGCACGAACUAGUGGUGGUCGUAAAAACCCUCGUCUUUUGUUUCGUGCCGUUAGUCGCGAGGGAAGCUCUUCAAAAACCCCAACGCGUCGUCUCUUGACGGCGCUUCGACCGCGACCCCAGGUCAGGCGGGACUACCCGCUGAGUUUAAGCAUAUCAAUAAGCGGAGGA